AGCUGCAGGAGCUGCGGGCGCGGAGGGAUGAGGACGAUCAGCGCAAACGGAGGCGGCACGAAGAGGAGCUGAGGAGGAAACAGUGCCGGCAGCAGGAGGCACUGCUGAAGCUGCUGCAGCAAAGCGGGGCUCCCCCCGGCGGGACCCCCCCCCCACCCUGGGCCCUUCCCAAAGCCCCCCCAGAUGGAGAGCGACCCCCCCACAAACCGACGCGGGGACCCCGGGCGGUGGGGGGGGCCCUGGGGGGGCCAUGGGGGGCGGAACCGCUGUGGCCCCCCCCCGAGAAGAACCCCGGGAGUGCACCGUGGGAGGAGAGCGCCCCCGGGGGGGGGGUCCUCCGAGGGGGGGGGGGCAAAGGGCGCAGCGGAACCAACAUGGGGGACCCCCCCUUCCGGCGCCGCCGCACGGAGGAGGAGGAGAAGAGCAAAGCGCUGCGGCUGUGGUGUGAGGCUGCAUUGGUGGCACUGGGAGCACCCGAGGGCGCCUCCCUCUCCUUCCCCCCCCCUGAACCUGAGCCCCCCGCGAGGGUCCGGGUUGGGCCCGUGGCCCC
rnacentral:lncRNA from 1 species